rnacentral:misc_RNA from 1 species
CUGUUCAUCACGUGACUAUUUAAGGGGUAGAAUUGUUAAAGAAUUCUUGUAAUAUGUUUCAUUAAUUUUAUUAUAGAUUAACUGGUUUUUUUCAAUAUAAUUCCAAGAUAAAAGUAUUUAAAUAAGUUUGUUAACUUGAAACAUACAUUUAUUAUUAAAUAAUAUGUAUAAAAAAAGAUUUAUUUAGUGGCCUUUUACUAAAUUUAAUUGCAGCUAUAUAAUAAUGGCGUUAUGGGAAAGUGUGUCGAAAUUACCGAAAGAACUGGCCGAUAAAAUUCAACAGCUUUAUGGGACACCUUUUCCAGUAGAAGUUCGUCAUUUCCUUGCCGAAUGGAUCGAGGCUCAACGUUGGUAAGUUUUUUUAUGUCGACGCAGCGUCUAUCGUCAACGCGCCCCCUGUUAGUAAUAAUUUAUCGCCGCGAAAAAGACGGCCUUUUAUACACGUUUCCCGCGUGUGGCUGUUCACUUUAGUUUUAAGGUCGGUAAGAGAUGAUGUAGAAGUUUCUCUUUGUCGGAUCAAUCUUUUCCUCUCCUUUUUUCUUACUAUCUUUCAAUCAUCAUCCUCUUAGAAGAGGGAUGAUGAGGUCCUUCAAAAGGGAUAUGAGAGAAGUUAAUCCGUACGAAAAACAAGAAAUGCUUGUCAGAAACAAUUACGCCUAUUACAACAGAUUGCAGUAUCCUUACAAUGCUUAUCACAAUCAGCAUUAUACAACAAGCGAUAGAAGGUUGUUUUCGGUAGGCGAAAAUAACCCUGCUUCUGCUAAUGAUUUAAGAGAUAAUUUAUGCGCUCAACUGAUGACCAAGGUACGAAUUUACUAUCUUUUCUACUUUUCAAUUGAUAUUAAAGAAUGUAUAGCUUUAGUUUCAUCUUAUUAUAUUUAAGGUGUUUUUAAUUUCUUUUCGGAAUUUUUAUCUUCUUUCUUUCAUGUUCAGCUUUUUUCUUUGCUUCUAUCUAUCUCACUUUCUUGUUCUUAUGAAAAUAUCAAUUUUAUAUUCCUUGUAAUUCUUCUUUCAACUCCUUCUCUGGUGUCUGUUAAGUUCGAUAAUAUUAAUUCAACUACCGUGCGAUCAAACGCGGUUCCGGAUGUUGUAAAGAGGAGACGCCAAUGUUGUAAAAGGAAGCCGUAGAAGAAAAGGGGCGGAGGCAAAUCAGUAGAAUUUUGUUUCACGUUUCAGGAUAUCAUUAACUCUUGGUGGCUCAUUAGAUUGGUAGGCCUGUGAAAAGAGAGAUGAGACCCAACACCCUUUCGAUGACUGUGAAUCGAUAAAAGGCCAUGCUUUUUCUUCCUUUUCCUUUCUUUGUCUCUCUGCCUUUUCACACCACUACUAAAAAAAAUGCUUUUUAUGAUGCAUAAUUUAUUAUUAAUUUUUUUCUUUAUAUAUUCUCUUUUUCAAUGGAUUUUUUAUGGAUCUAUUCUAGAAAAAAAUCAAUUUAUAUUUUUCUAGUCGUAUUCAUUCCAUGAACAUUGUUUCUAGGCUGAAGAACAAGAACGCUCAGAAAAUAUAAUAAACCGUUUUCGUCUGAGGGAGUGCGCUGAAUCGAUUCAAAAUCAUUUUAGUGGUGAUCAAGGAGCAAUGAAGUUAGUUCAAACUGUCCGUCAUUGCCUCAAUGCAGAGAGAGAGAUUUUGAGUCAAGUAGAAAAUUCAGCCCAACCUUAUUACCAGCAGCAAAUGUUUCAUCAGUCUGGUCCUGUCGACUUGAAUCAAAUUUUGUCAGAUAUUGCCCAAGAGAAGAUUAAAUGCGAAAACGCUUUGCGACUUUUACAGCAAAAACAAGAACAUUUCAUAAUUAAAUAUCAGGAUAACGCUCAAACUGAACAGCAAAUUAAUUCUGGCAAGUGUUCCCGAGAAGUGCUUGGUAAGCUGCAAGAGAAGAAGCGUUUGCUGCAGAAUGAAUUGACGACACUGGCCCAACAGUUAUUGAAUGAGAGACUAGCCCUUGCGGAUCUGCUGCAAAAUGCUAUUAAUGGUAUGAUGGAGGCACAGAAAAUCAUUUUGGAGGAGAGGCUUAUAGAGUGGAAAAGGGCUCAGCAAUUGCACGGUAAUGGUUAUCCAGACUUUCAAGUUGGACACCUGGACGUUCUACAAAAAUGGUGUGAAGAUUUAGCUGUUUUAACUUGGUCUAUUCGUCAACAACUGAAGAGGCUACAGUUGCUCAGACAGCAGUUGCCGAUCGCUUUACCAACUGGAAAAUCAGAUAUAGUUCCAGGAUUAUUAGAUCAGGCCACUCAACUCUUAUCUCAGCUAAUUACGAGCACCUUCGUUAUCGAAAGUCAACCACCACAAGUUUUAAAGAAAGAUGCUAGGUUUUCAGCCAAAGUUCGUUUAUUGGUCGGAGCUAAACUUUCAGUUCACCUUAACCCACCAACUGUAAAAGCCACUAUUAUUAGUGAAGAACAAGCUAGAGUGUUACUUAGAACUGUUGUUGGUCAAGAUCAACGAGCCUCUCAUAUGUCCGAAUCCUGCGGUGAUAUUUUGAAUAAUUCUUCCACUAUGGAGGUUCAGAAUAAUGGACAACAGCAAGUUCUGGUUGUUACGUUUAGGAAUAUGGCUUUGAAGAGAAUAAAAAGAGCUGAAAAGAAGGGUAACGAAACGGUUACUGAGGAGAAGUUUUCAAUUCUCUUUCAAAGUUCAUUUACGGUUGGCGAAGGUGAACUAGUUUUCCAAGUGUGGACUCUCUCCCUACCAGUGGUUGUUAUUGUUCAUGGCAAUCAAGAACCGAGCGCCACAGCAACAGUUUUAUGGGAUAAUGCAUUUGCUCAACCAGCCAGACCCCCAUUUGCCGUUCCCGAUGAAGUUUUGUGGCCUGAUCUUAGUAGAGCAUUAAACAUGAAAUUUACAGCUGCUGCUGGAGCCAGUCUAAAUAAGCAGCAUAUGGAUUAUCUAGCUUCCAAGUUAUUCGGAGUGCAAGAGGAAUACUCUAAUUGCUUAGUCAAGUGGAGCGCCUUCAAUAAGGAACCACUCUCUCCACGUAACUUUACAUUUUGGGAAUGGUUUUAUAAUUUGUUGAAAUUAGUUAAGGAAUGGUUGCAUGACUUAUGGAAAGAUGGUUUAAUUCAUGGUUUUGUAAGUAAGCAACAAGCCAGUAAUUGCCUGUUGAAUUCCGGUAAACCUGGAACUUUCAUGCUAAGAUUCUCUGAUAGUGAAUUGGGUGGUUUGACCAUUUCAUUUCUUGGAUCAAGACAGAAUGGAGCAAGUGAUCACGUUGAAGUUUUAGCCCUGCAGCCGUAUAGUGAUAAGGAUUUUAGAAUCAGAGGUUUGGCUGAUAGGGUCAAGGAUAUACCUAGCCUUCUUUGGCUAUAUCCUGAUAGAAAGAAGGAAGAAGCUUUCUUGAAGCAUUGGGGUCCUGAUCCAUCUAACGCUCCAUCGCUUGACGACGGCUAUGUCCCCACAAUCCUUGUGUCCGUAGUGCCUGGUAUACGAACACCUGAACAAGAAAGACAGCAAGAUGCUGUUCAACAAACUACUCAGAACAGUACAUUUACUCCGAUUCAAAAUGCUGAAGGAUCUAUAUCGCCACAAGACUUGGCAUUUUUGGAGAGUCUUGAUCAUUUUGGCGAAAUUAAUGAUCUAAAUACAAUGAUGGAUUACAAUCCUUGCGAUAUAAUAAAUGCUAAUCAAUUCCUCUAUGGACCGGAAGAGUCCGAAGGGGAUCCUGAUCAUAGAGAAGUCGAAAGAAUGGCUUGAUAUGUUUUUUUUCUUGCUUUUUUUUGUGCUUAUAUAAAUGACAUUGUUAUGCCCGCUAACGACGGUAAUUUGUAUACCUUACCUCUUGACGUUUCGACAUAUCUCUCUUUCUGUUUUUUUUCCCUAAAAAUUUUCAAACUAAAAAUGUAAUAUAAAUCUUUUUUUCCCUUGUUUUUUUUCCUUUUUGUAAAAUUGUAACGAACAUUUUUUUUUGUUGUGGAACUUGCCAUACUGGGUUAUUGCGCCAUAUUUACUCAACUCUACUCGCAUCUUUUACGAUGUACUGUGCAUUCAAUAAAAAAGGAAAAUAAAAGAAUAAUUAAUCAAAAAGAGGUAUGUACCACGUCAAUGAUUGUACAGCUGCAAAAACUUUCGGUUUAUCUUGUAGAAUAAUCUAUAUAGGCACAUUGUCUUCUAUCCAUAUAAGAAUUUAUUACAGAAUGUACUAAACUUUGUACAUGAAUACACUUUGAAUAUGUAAAAUUUGU